GGCUCUUCCAAGUAACCAAAACAUCUAGUUUCCCCAACAGAGAUCCAUCUGGUAUUUUGGUCAGUCGUGCCUCAUGGUAUAUAUGAAUAACCAGUGGUUUAAAUGGGGAACCACGUCUGCUUCUGGAAUCCUACCAAGUGGGAUCUUGGAGCAGGUUAUGCCGGAGGAAGCCUGCGUCACUCGCUGUAUGUGAAAGUGAAGUGUGAGGAGGUCGUCAUCACACUUACCUGUUGAGGCUUCUGAACUUACCGUCUGCCUCAACAGGCUGGAGUUUCUAAACUGCACGAAAAGCCCCAGCGAGUUGUCACCCAUCGCAGGAGACAGCAAUGAAGAAGAGAUGCACCUGCCCCAUGGUGCAGAGGAUUCUGCCUGUCCCAGCCUCCAGCACAGACCCACUGAAAUGGAUCACAUGAGGCGUCUUAUCUGGUACCAGAUGCUCGGCCAUGCCCUCCACUCGGUGUUAUCCCAGCACUUACCACGUCGGCACAGUGGGGUCAGCAUGACAGUGCUCUCAUGGCAAAGACGGGGAGACCAACUUCCCCGUCACAGCAGGGACACAGUGGGCAGGGAUUUGAACCUGGAUUCGACGUCAGCGUCCACCGUCUUACCCACGGCGAGCCUGACGCAGGGAAGGUUUUACCUGUUCUUCCUCUUUCUUGUCCUCGGUUGUCCAGGCCUGGGUGUUCAGCACGUUCCCUCCAGUAAGUUUAGAGUGGCAUCUCUCCGAGGGCCAGACCCCGGUGAGGACGGACAUCUUAGCUCCCAUUCUGAGUGGAAGGAGAGAGGCUUGGUCCAGCUCUCAAAGCCUUCUAUGCCCACCAGGAAUCCAGGAAGACCUGGAGAGCCCGAAGCAGUAAACGGGAGAGGCGCUCCGUGGGAAACGCGGGCGGAGAGGGAGAACCUUUCCCACUGAAACCUCCAGCCCCGGCUUCUUCUCAGCCUUUGGCAGCUAUUAAAAAAAUUCCUUCAAUUUUUGCCCACUAAUGAUGCCCAUCAUUCUCUGGAACCUGAAUUCAGGAGCGUAGGCUCACAGCCCUGUCUUACAUGAUGUACGCUUUUUAUCUCAAAAGCGUUUUAUCUCAAAAAGCUGGGGCCAUUUGUACCCGAGAAGGGUGUAGCCAUAGGAACAUCUGCACCUAUACUUAGUAGAUAAUUAAGCCAGUUUUCUGGGUACUUAAUAGUUUUCUACUUCACGGUGUGUAGGUUAUACUUGGUUUUAGUUAUGACAGAUUGGGAUAAUAAGUAUAAAAGUAACCAUCUAAUUAACGGCUCCAUGUACUGUAUGAUUCUGGAAAGCAUUAUUUAGAAUUAUUGGAUCAGGUUAGGCUGUGGACAUACUGUGUCUGGAUUUUCCUAAGUUCUCUUAAAAAACGAGUUCAGACCAAUACAUAUAUUUAUGGGGGAGUACAUAAAGGCAGUCUGCAGAAUGCCCGUGUGGAGGCGUCUGGGCAGGAAUGCCAGUGUGGAUGCAUCUGGGUAAGGCUGGCGGCCUCAUGGAGGGAUGAUAGGUCAUUGUCAGUCGCUGUGGCUGAAUUAAGUUCACCCCCCAAUUCACAUGUUGAAGUCCUGACCCCUAGGACCUCAGAAUGUAACUGUAUUUGGAGAUAGGGCAUUUCAAGAGUUAAUUAAAGUAAAGUGAAGUAUUAGGAUGGGCCCUGGUCCCACCUGACCGGGGUCCUUAUAAGAAGAGGAGAUGAGGACACAGACACACCCAGAGGGCCGACCCUGCCAGGACCCAGGGAAGAGAAAGGGAAGGAGGCAUUGGAGAGAGCCAGCCCUGCCCACAUCUUGCUGUUGGUCUUCCAGCCUCCAGAGCUGUGAGAAAUAAACUUCUGUGUGUAAGCCCCCCA
ensembl:lncRNA